AUAAAUGGUGUUAGAAUAUUAGCCACAUGUAGGAGAAUGAAACUAGAUCCUUAUCUCUCACCUUCUACAAAAAUCAACUCAGGAUUAAGGAUUAAAACCUAAGAACUGCAAUUAUAAAAAUUCGAGACAGUAACAUUGGAAAAACCCUUCUAGACAUUGGCUUAGGCAAGGAUUUCCUGACCAAAACCCCAAAAGAAAAAGCAAUAAAAAGACAGAUAAAUAGCUGGGACCUAAUGAAACUAAAGAGCUUUUGCACUGCAAAAGGAACAGUCCAGCAGAGUAAACAGAGAACUCACAGAGUGAGAGC